GCUCCCAGAAGAUAUAACAGUUCACAAUGAGGACUUGGAAGGUGACAGGCGUCGGUUAUUGUUGCGGGGACUUACUCAAUCUCUGCCUGAGAUUUUGCCUUUAUUGUAUAAUCUUCUCGAGAGGCACUUUGGAGCUGCGAUGAGUGAAGCCAGUAGGCAACAGGUUGACUUGGCAAAACAGCACGCAGCUGUGGUUAU